rnacentral:sRNA from 1 species
AAAUACAUUGAAAUUAAAACUGAAAUUAUUAAGAAAAAUUCUUUCUAAUGCCCUUUUCAUGAUGCCACUUUUCAACUCUACCAUUUUUUUAGCCAUUUUUAUUUUUAUCCUUUUUAAAAUUUUAAUGACCAUUUUACCCUUAUUUGGAAAUGUUUUAGGUUAACAAAAUGAAAUAUUAAUAUUUUUCGCCUGAAAUAUUAAUAUUUUUUUGCCUAAAAUAUUCCAAAACAAAUUUCCCGACAAAAUUUUUUGAAAAAAAAAAUUUCCUCCAAAAUGUUUAAAAAGAUUUACAAAGGAUUUUAAAAGAGUUUAAAAAGAUUUACAAAGGAUUUUAAAAGAGUUUUAAAAUAUUUAUAAGGGAUUUUAAAAGGGUUUUAAAAAAUUUACAAGAGAUUUUAAAAGGGUUUUAAAAGAUUUACAAGAGAUUUUACAAGGUUUUAAAAGAUUUACAAAUGCUUU